rnacentral:rRNA from 1 species
UACGAGGGAUCCUAGCGUUGUUCGGAAUCAUUGGGCGUAAAGGGUGCGUAGGUGGCCAAGUAAGUCAGUUGUGAAAGCCCCGGGCUCAACCCGGGAAGUGCUUCUGAUACUGCAUGGCUUGAGUACUGUAGAGGUGAGUGGAAUUCCAGGUGUAGUGGUGAAAUACGUAGAUAUCUGGAGGAACACCGGCGGCGAAGGCGGCUCACUGGACAUGUACUGACGCUGAGGCACGAAAGCGUGGGGAUCAAACAGG